rnacentral:rRNA from 1 species
CAAUGGAGAGUUUGAUCCUGGCUCAGGAUGAACGCUGGCGGCGUGCCUAAUACAUGCAAGUCGGACGCAAUGCUUCGGCAUUGAGUGGCGAACGGGUGAGUAAGACAUAAGCAACCUGCCCCUGUGAGGGGGAUAACUGCUGGAAACGGCAGCUAAGACCGCAUAGGCAUAG